GUCAUAGAGGGGGGAGGGGGCAGACGGGAGAACAGUGCCGUGGGCUCAAGUAGCGCCCUCCAGCAAGGACUGCUGUGUCUGGCGUGGGCCGGUCUGUCCGCAGCGGAGAGGCCGGACUGGGUGGUGAAGGCAAGAUUGCUUCUCCCUGGCUUUGGGCAACAGGGUCUUCCUGGGAGCGGGGCUCCCCUUCCCAGCCUUUAGGAAAUCUGGCUUGUCCACACAACACCCUGAGCCCUUGAGCAACUCCGGCUCCCGAACCAGAAUGCCAGAGUAUUAACUUACAAUAAGAACCACUGCGGCGGAGGGCAGAGGUUAUAAAAAAGGAAACUCUUCUUUGGGACACACUCAAAUGAUGCAAGAAGAGGACAAAGAAAGUGAAAGUCACCUGCUCUCCUGCUCAUCAGACGUGACUGUGUUGGCUAGUGUCCUUCCUGGCACAUCCGGUCACGGGCGACCUUA